AUUGAACGCUAGCGGCAUGCCUUACACAUGCAAGUCGAACGGCAGCACGGGUGCUUGCACCUGGUGGCGAGUGGCGAACGGGUGAGUAAUACAUCGGAACGUACCUUAUCGUGGGGGAUAACGCAGCGAAAGCUGUGCUAAUACCGCAUACGCCCUGAGGGGGAAAGCGGGGGAUCGCAAGACCUCGCGCGAUUAGAGCGGCCGAUGCCUGAUUAGCUUGUUGGUGGGGUAAAAGCCCACCAAGGCGACGAUCAGUAGCUGGUCUGAGAGGACGAUAAGCCACACUGGGACUGAGACACGGCCCAGACUCCUACGGGAGGCAGCAGUGGGGAAUUUUGGACAAUGGGGGCAACCCUGAUCCAGCAAUGCCGCGUGAGUGAAGAAGGCCUUCGGGUUGUAAAGCUCUUUUGUCAGGGAAGAAACACCGGCUCUAACACAGUCUGGGAAUGACGGUACCUGAAGAAUAAGCACCGGCUAACUACGUGCCAGCCGCCGCCGUAAGAC
rnacentral:rRNA from 1 species